UACGGAGGGUGCAAGCGUUGCUCGGAAUUAUUGGGCGUAAAGGGUAGGUAGGUGGUCUUAUUUGUCUGGGGUGAAAUCCUUGAGCUUAACUCGAGAAGUGCCCCAGAAACGGUAAGACUAGAGUUCUGGAGAGGGUCGUGGAAUUCCCGGUGUAGCGGUGAAAUGCGUAGAGAUCGGGAGGAACACCAGAGGCGAAGGCGGCGACCUGGACAGAUACUGACACUCAACUACGAAAGCGUGGGGAGCAAACAGG
rnacentral:rRNA from 1 species